UUUAAUCAAUGUAACAAAAACUAUCCUCUAGAAGUACAAGCAAACAUGCAAUUAGUCUUCAACAAGUACUAAGAACUUUUGAAGCAAUGAAAAAUAUUGAACACUUACAAGUCAUACAAGUAGGAAAUAAAUAAAGCUUUGUACUAUUGUGAAGGUUCACUUCAACAAGAAUGAGCCAAGAUAGUGGAGAGGCCGAUUUUUCCUCAAAAAAGGGAGCCAUAAAUUCAUCAAAGGCACUGAAGGUGCCUAUUAAUCAGCCAACUUCAAGGAAGAUCACUUUGAGGAGAUGGUGUGGAUUGAAGAGCAAUCUAAACAUGGCGAGCAAGAGGAGUCGGGUAAUGAAUCUCAAGACCAUGUCAAGGAGGAGUAAAAGAAGUCUUGGUUUCAAGUGGUAUAUUUAAUAUAUAUAGUACAUGUCACCAAAUAUGUCGUGGAUAAAUCCAAAUACUCAAUAGUACAUAACUACAUCAAUAUGUAGCUAGAUCACUAUUUUUUAUCACAUAGUUCUUUAGUGAUACAAUAUGUAGAGAUGGCAGUA
rnacentral:lncRNA from 1 species